rnacentral:rRNA from 1 species
AGCGAACGCUGGCGGCAGGCCUAACACAUGCAAGUCGAACGAACUCUUCGGAGUUAGUGGCGGACGGGUGAGUAACACGUGGGAACGUGCCUUUUGGUUCGGAAUAACUCAGGGAAACUUGUGCUAAUACCGAAUGUGCCCUUCGGGGGAAAGAUUUAUCGCCAUUAGAGCGGCCCGCGUCUGAUUAGCUAGUUGGUGAGGUAACGGCUCACCAAGGCGACGAUCAGUAGCUGGUCUGAGAGGAUGACCAGCCACACUGGGACUGAGACACGGCCCAGACUCCUACGGGAGGCAGCAGUGGGGGAUAUUGCGCAAUGGGCGAAAGGCUGACGCAGCCAUGCCGCGUGAAUGAUGAAGGUCUUAGGAUUGUAAAAUUCUUUCACCGGGGACGAUAAUGACGGUACCCGGAGAAGAAGCCCCGGCUAACUUCGUG